CCCUUUGCAUGGAUCGGGUAACUUGUGUGAAAAGAAUUCAAAUUUAAGAGGAAAAUUGGUAUCAUUGCAUUCUUAUGACAUUAUUUAUUUUUUUUCUUUUAGCGAGUGAAUGAAUGAAAUUUCCUCAGAGCUAGAAAUUUUACUUUCACCUGGUUCUGCAAGCAACUAAGUAUCCAGUUUCAUCUAAAUCGCUGGAGAUGUUCAUUACUAAAUUCUCAGAACAUUCCACCCACAGUCCAAUGUGGCUGAUUCCAAUGAAACUGUUGGUUGCAGUGCCAGAGCUGCUAUAGUUUCUUCACUGUCUGAAGAAACUGAAUUCUAGAAAAGAACUAAAAUGAUCUGACCCAUGCUGUGCUGUUCUGUAUUUGACAGUGGAAUCCGAUUAGGACUGAAUUCAGCUGUGGUUAUCAUCUAUCUAGCAAACUGUUUGUGUGUUUUGGGAAGGCAC
rnacentral:lncRNA from 1 species